UCCCUAGUUUUUUUUGUUUCUUGGGGUUUUUUUUGGUUUUUUUUUUUUUUUUGCUGGCAGGAUGACGCCUAUGUUCUGUCAAAAUGUGAGUACAACUUAGGGGCUGGAGAAAUGAAAGGGAGCUAUGCACUGGGCACUUUUCUGCAAUUCUAUUGCUUUGUCUUGCUUAUAGUCAUUAAAUCACUGUUUUUAUACACAUUGCUGUUACUUCUACUUUCUUUAAAGAUACAGUAAAUGAAGUUUUUUGAAACCACAAAAUACAUACAUUUUUAUUUUGACCUAAAUUUUAACUGAGAGAGAGGGAAAAAACAAAAACAAACAAACAAAAAAAAACAGCUCCCAUUGCACAUAAUGUGCCAGAUACUGUCCCCUCCCUAGCUCCAGUGCUGUUCCUUCUCUCCUCCCCCAUCCAGCCCACCUCAUCUACUGACAACAAAUAGAAAAAAAAAGGGGAUGGUGGGGAGAAAAUAGAGAAGGGCUUCAAAACCCCUGUCAGCACUUUGCCUGCUGCAGGCAGAGCCACGGUCCUCCCCCACCCACUCACCAACACCGCCCAGCUUUCCGCCAGGGCUUGGAGUCUUCCGAAAAGAAGGGUGCAGGCUCAGAAAGCCCGAGCUUGGGGAAGGAGCUGCUGGGAGGGCGGGGGGCGGGGGGGGGGGGAACACCAGAGCAGGAUUUCCUCUCAUUGAUUCACUCUCAACCUGGAAGUUCCAAGAGCCGUACCCCCACCCAACACCAACCUUCCACUCCUCCCUCCCUCCGUGAGGAAACCACAGGCUGCAGGUGAGUUUGCAGAGCCACAGAAACAAGCUCUGGAGCUGCCAUGAGAUGAAAGGAAACACAGGGAUACCGGCUCUAAAAGAGGGGCAGUGGCAAACCCAGGCUGCUACCUGGUGGAGGCAGAGGGGAUGGGAGACCAACGGUGACGCAUUCGCUCCUGGACAACCUCACGUUUGCUCUGCUAAAGACAUCCCAAUCCCCUCCAAGGAAAUGGGCUGUGAUGGAAUGAAGCACUCGAAGCAAACAUUUCAUUCACUCAUUCACCAUGGAACAAACAAUGUUCAGAUGUCUGUCUGAUCCUCAUCCCCACCACCACCAAUCCCCAUCCGUCUGCCUGAUCAAUUCCCUGAACCCAAACUUGACCCUUGUCAAGUUUGUGUCUCUGCGGAUCCAUCCUUUGCCAUCAGUCCCAGAUUUUGCCUGGGAAAUUUACUCCGUUCCUCCUAAUUGACCCACUUGAACCAAGAGUCCUGGCCUCUCCCGAUCCCUGCCACACCCAGUUCGGCCCUCUCUUCCAGGCUUUGUCAUGACCCAGCAGUGCCCCAGCUGGAACCUGAGCAGCAUUGUGUCUCUUAACUGGAGAAAGAAAGCAGGAGACUGAGGGGAGAAGAAAGGAGAGAGAGAGAGAGAAAAAAUCAUCCUUUCUUCAUCUGGCCACAAUUUUCUCAUGAGCCCCAAAGAGCUUUCCCUGACGGUGCCCUGGGAAGGAAGGGAGACAGGGAGGAGGGAAAUGACAUGCAUUAAAUACCUGUUACGUGCCUGUGCCUUGAGAAAAGUAUUAAGAUCUAUUUAGAGUCCAGGAAACUGAGGACCAGAAAGGUUAAGUGACCCUCCCAUGGUCACACAGCUAUUAAGAGGCAGUCUCCAUUUCAGUCCAGACCUUCUAACUCCAAGGCCCAUAUUCUAUUUAGUAUGACGGCACUCCUCUAACGUUACUGUGCAUGCCAACCACGGGCGAUCUUGUCCAAACGCAGAUUCUGAGACACAGGUUGGGCUGGGGGCCUAAGUUCUACUUUCAUAAUAAGCUCCCAAGGUGGUGUGGCUGCUAAAGUUGCAGGCUGCUUAGAUUGUAAACAUCAAGGCAAUAUGAAAUGAAGCCUUCUCAGAAUCCCAGUUAAACCCCAAGGGCCUGACCCGGAACAAUUCUCAACCGAGGUGUCACACCACCACUUAACCCCAGGGUAGGUAGCCAUGGUUUGGUUCUGAUUUUCAGUUGUUGCUCUGACCGUGGCAUCACUGACGUUCCGUAUCCGGGAGUCAAGGAUGCUACAAAUCCAGCCCUGUGUGUGAAAUAAUCCAGUUUGAUUUUCUCAGGACCAGCCUGCCCAGCACAGAAAUGUGCCGCCUAAGAUUCUCAGAGCAUCUCCACCAGGGAAUUUCAAACCAUGGCGAAGGCAGCCUGCGCUGCUGUCAGACACCAGCCCUUGGGCUGUCUUAUCUCUGUUACUUGUUCUCAGUCAUUAGAAACAUCAGCUCUGCCCUCCAGCUGUUCUGCUCCAAACUGUCAUCCCUGACAGCUGCUCUCCAGCUCUGACUGCACACGCAGGAGUGCAGGCUGAUGUCUCGCUUCCUGGAACUCCAACGUGUCAACAGAAAGAAUGAUCCAAGACCAGCCUAAUCAGAGAUUAGGGGAUUUGCAUAUUCCUGGGGACCAAGAGCACAGGAAUGUGGCCAUCACACAAACUUGGACUUUUUAGGAAAGCAAGUAGGCCCGCUGAUAAAUUCCUAUCACUUUGCAUCCCACAAGAAUUUCCAAACGUAUUUAUAGAGAUGAUGGGAGAGGAGCUAACACCUCCUAAGCUUCUGACCAGAAACUGGACAGAUGCCUUAUAAAUACUAUUUCAUUGCUUCUGUAGCAAUGGAAGAGUCAUUGCAAACCCAGACUCUGAGCCCAAGUGUCUGGGUUUGAAUCUCAACUCAGCUAAUCACCAGUGGUAUUACCUUGAAAAAAAAAUGGACCCUCCCAGUCCCUCAGUUUCUUGAUCUGUAAAAUGGGCCUCAACAGGGUGUCUGCCUCAUUAGGCUGCUGUGAAAGUUAAAUGAAUUAAUACUCACAGAAUACAGACAAAGCUAGCCUGGCUAAGUAUACAAUGGCCAGUAUAUUAAAUAGUCUUGCAAGAUCAAUUAUUUUUCCAUAUUUUACAGAUGAGGAAACAGGCUUACCCAAGUUCACACACCUAGAAUCUGGUAGAUUCUAUCUGAGCAGUCAUAGUGAAAACUAAUAUUCACUGAGACCUUAUUAUGCACCAGACACUAUUUUAAGCAAUUUAGUAGCAUUGACUCAAUGAAUCCUCACAACCACCCUAAAAGAUGGGUAUUAUUAUCCCCAUUUUGUCAAUGAAUAAACUGACUUGCCGGAGAGUA